AGGGGAAACGAAGUGUAAACUCCCAACCAUUGUGUACCUACCACUGUUGCUUCGGCGGCCUCGCCCCGGGCGCGUUCGCGCGGCCCGGACCCAGGCGUCCGCCGGAGGCUCCAAACUCUUGUCUUUUAGUGUAUUUCUGAGUGGCAUAAGCAAAUAAAUCAAAACUUUCAGCAACGGAUCUCUUGGUUCUGGCAUCGAUGAAGAACGCAGCAAAAUGCGAUAAGUAAUGUGAAUUGCAGAAUUCAGUGAAUCAUCGAAUCUUUGAACGCACAUUGCGCCCGCCAGUAUUCUGGCGGGCAUGCCUGUCUGAGCGUCAUUUCAACCCUCAGGACCCGUUCGCGGGACCUGGCGUUGGGGAUCAGCCUGCCCCUGGCGGCGGCUGGCCCUGAAAUCCAGUGGCGGUUCCCUCGCGAACUCCUCCGUGCAGUAAUUAAACCUCUCGCGGCAGGAUAGCGGUUGAACCACGCCGUUAAACCCCCCACUUCUCAAGGUUGACCUCAGAUCAGGUAGGAAUACCCGCUGAACUUAAGCAUAUCAAAAGCCGGGAGGAAACCAAGACCGAGGGCACA
rnacentral:rRNA from 1 species